GGUCCUUCGGUACAUAACAUUGGAGAGGCACAUGGUGUGCGCUCGGCAGAUGGAGUCAAGGAGGACAGGAGCGACUUCUGGGAAGUCGAGAAAAAGAAGAAGGAAUCGGGAUCCUCAAUUCUCGGAAGAGGGAAGCCGCCUACGUGUUCCGACCGGAAUUGGACGCGUUGCACCUGUGUGGAGAAGGUUGGAGGAACAUUAAGUGUGAACAACUGAGGUACCAUGUGCAAAGGAUUGGCAAAAGAGAUUGAGAUGAGUUUGCCAAAAAGGUUUUCAGGCACCUUAUAGUCUUAGGAGAAGGUUGGAGGAACAUCAAGUGUGAACAACUGAGGUACCGUAUAGAUGAACUGGCAAGAUCCGGAUGGAGGAACGGUCGCACUCGUGUGGUCCGUAGGAAGCCUCAAAGAUGCAAGCCACUGACAUGAAAUAUGAGGAUCGCCCCCUUGUACCAGAAUUUGUUAAAUUCUUCUGGAAGAAGUCAUUCGUGGAAUAUUUGUCAUCAAAGAGGGGAGAUGUUGGGUAUCAACGUGUAUUGACCCACGACGUGGCUAAGAAGAUCGUACAACGUGAACUCUAUGAACUAACUUAUUUUAUUCCUUAGUUUAGUAAUGUAAUAAACUACUCGUCUUCUCC
ensembl:ncRNA F08H9.15 ncRNA